rnacentral:snRNA from 1 species
CGUCUAGUAUAUAGUAAAGUUGGAACAAUAUAGAGAAGAUUAGCAAGACCCCCGCGCAAGGGUGACACGCAAACUCGUGAAGCGUUCCAAAAUUUU